UAAGCGAAUAAGCGUACACGGUGGAUGCCUAGGCAAUCAGAGGCGAUGAAGGACGUGCUAAUCUGCGAAAAGCGUCGGUAAGGUGAUAUGAACCGCUAUACCCGACGAUAUCCGAAUGGGGAAACCCAGUAUCCAAUGGAUACUAUCAUUAACUGAAUCCAUAGGUUAAUGAGGCGAACCGGGAGAACUGAAACAUCUCAGUACCCCGAGGAAAAGAAAUCAACCGAGAUUCCCCUAGUAGCGGCGAGCGAACGGGGAGCAGCCCAGAGUCUUAAUCAAUAGCAGUGUCAGGAGAACGGUCUGGAAAGUCCGGCAGUAAAGGGUGAUAGCCCCGUAUCUGAAGAUGCUGUUAUUGUGAACUCGACGAGUAGGGCGGGACACGUGUUAUCCUGUCUGAAUAUGGGGGGACCAUCCUCCAAGGCUAAAUACUCCUGAUUGACCGAUAGUGAACCAGUACCGUGAGGGAAAGGCGAAAAGAACCCCGGCGAGGGGAGUGAAAAAGAACCUGAAACCGUGUACGUACAAGCAGUAGGAGCCUCUUUAUGGGGUGACUGCGUACCUUUUGUAUAAUGGGUCAGCGACUUAUAUUCUGUAGCGAGGUUAACCGCAUAGGGGAGCCGUAGGGAAACCGAGUCUUAACUGGGCGAAUGAGUUGCAGGGUAUAGACCCGAAACCCGGUGAUCUAUCCAUGGGCAGGUUGAAGGUUGGGUAACACUAACUGGAGGACCGAACCGACUAAUGUUGAAAAAUUAGCGGAUGACUUGUGGAUGGGGGUGAAAGGCCAAUCAAACCGGGAGAUAGCUGGUUCUCCCCGAAAGCUAUUUAGGUAGCGCCUCGUGAACUCAUCUUCGGGGGUAGAGCACUGUUUCGACUAGGGGGUCAUCCCGACUUACCAACUCGAUGCAAACUGCGAAUACCGAAGAAUGUUAUCACGGGAGACACACGGCGGGUGCUAACGUCCGUCGUGAAGAGGGAAACAACCCAGACCGCCAGCUAAGGUCCCAAAGUCAUGGUUAAGUGGGAAACGAAGUGGGAAGGCUCAGACAGCCAGGAUGUUGGCUUAGAAGCAGCCAUCAUUUAAAGAAAGCGUAAUAGCUCACUGGUCGAGUCGGCCCGCGCGGAAGAUGUAACGGGGCUAAACCAUGCACCGAAGCUGCGGCAGCGACACAAAGUGUUGUUGGGUAGGGGAGCGUUCUGUAAGCCUGCGAAGGUGUACUGUGAGGUAUGCUGGAGGUAUCAGAAGUGCGAAUGCUGACAUAAGUAACGAUAAUGCGGGUGAAAAACCCGCACGCCGGAAGACCAAGGGUUCCUGUCCAACGUUAAUCGGGGCAGGGUGAGUCGACCCCUAAGGCGAGGCUGAAAAGCGUAGUCGAUGGGAAACGGGUUAAUAUUCCCGUACUGGUGGUAACUGCGAUGGGGGAACGGAGAAGGCUAGGUUGUCCGGGCGACGGUCGUCCCGGUUCAAGCAGGUAGGCAGAGUGAUUAGGCAAAUCCGGUCACUUAAUGCUGAGAUGUGAUGACGAGCCACCAAGGUGGUGAAGCAAUUGAUGCCCCGCUUCCAGGAAAAGCCUCUAAGCUUCAGGUUACCAACAAUCGUACCCCAAACCGACACAGGUGGUCAGGUAGAGAAUACUCAGGCGCUUGAGAGAACUCGGGUGAAGGAACUAGGCAAAAUGGUGCCGUAACUUCGGGAGAAGGCACGCUGGCGGUAGGUAAAGUCCCUCGCGGACGGCGCUGAAGCCAGUCGAAGAUACCAGCUGGCUGCAACUGUUUAUUAAAAACACAGCACUGUGCAAACACGAAAGUGGACGUAUACGGUGUGACGCCUGCCCGGUGCUGGAAGGUUAAUUGAUGGGGUUAGCGUAAGCGAAGCUCCUGAUCGAAGCCCCAGUAAACGGCGGCCGUAACUAUAACGGUCCUAAGGUAGCGAAAUUCCUUGUCGGGUAAGUUCCGACCUGCACGAAUGGCGUAAUGAUGGCCAGGCUGUCUCCACCCGAGACUCAGUGAAAUUGAACUCGCUGUGAAGAUGCAGUGUACCCGCGGCAAGACGGAAAGACCCCGUGAACCUUUACUAUAGCUUGACACUGAACAUUGAGCCUUGAUGUGUAGGAUAGGUGGGAGGCUUUGAAGUGUGGACGCCAGUCUGCAUGGAGCCAACCUUGAAAUACCACCCUUUAACGUUUGAUGUUCUAACCUAGGCCCAUAAACUGGGUCGGGGACCGUGUCUGGUGGGUAGUUUGACUGGGGCGGUCUCCUCCUAAAGAGUAACGGAGGAGCACGAAGGUUGGCUAAGCAUGGUCGGACAUCAUGCGGUUAGUGCAAAGGCAUAAGCCAGCUUGACUGCGAGAGUGACGGCUCGAGCAGGUACGAAAGUAGGUCUUAGUGAUCCGGUGGUUCUGAAUGGAAGGGCCAUCGCUCAACGGAUAAAAGGUACUCCGGGGAUAACAGGCUGAUACCGCCCAAGAGUUCAUAUCGACGGCGGUGUUUGGCACCUCGAUGUCGGCUCAUCACAUCCUGGGGCUGAAGUAGGUCCCAAGGGUAUGGCUGUUCGCCAUUUAAAGUGGUACGCGAGCUGGGUUUAGAACGUCGUGAGACAGUUCGGUCCCUAUCUGCCGUGGGCGUUGGAAGAUUGAGAGGGGUUGCUCCUAGUACGAGAGGACCGGAGUGAACGCACCACUGGUGUUCGGGUUGUCAUGCCAAUGGCAUUGCCCGGUAGCUAAGUGCGGAAGAGAUAACCGCUGAAAGCAUCUAAGCGGGAAACUUGCCUCGAGAUGAGUCUUCCCUGUCGCUUUAAGCGACCUAAAGGAACGUUUAAGACUAAGACGUUGAUAGGCUGGGUGUGUAAGCGUAGCGAUACGUUGAGCUAACCAGUACUAAUGAACCGUGAGGCUUAACCU
rnacentral:rRNA from 1 species